UACAGAGGUCCCAAGCGUUGUUCGGAUUUACUGGGCGUAAAGGGUGCGUAGGCGGUCGGGUAAGUCUGACGUGAAAUCUUCAAGCUCAACUUGGAAACUGCGUCGGAUACUAUUCGGCUAGAGGAAUGGAGGGGAGACUGGAAUACUUGGUGUAGCAGUGAAAUGCGUAGAUAUCAAGUGGAACACCAGUGGCGAAGGCGAGUCUCUGGACAUUUCCUGACGCUGAGGCACGAAAGCCAGGGGAGCAAACGGG
rnacentral:rRNA from 1 species